rnacentral:tRNA from 1 species
UCCAGAUGGUCCUAGUGGUAGAGAAUCUGACUGUCAUGCAGGAGACCUGGGUUCAAUUCCUGGGUUAGGAA